GCCGGGCGUGGUAGGGAACGCCUGUAAUCCCAGCAACUCUGGAGGCUGAGGCCGGAGGAUCUCAAAUUCAAAGCCAGCCUCGG
rnacentral:sRNA from 1 species